rnacentral:rRNA from 1 species
AGUGAACGCUGGCGGUAGGCCUAACACAUGCAAGUCGAACGGCAGCACAGUAAGAGCUUGCUCUUACGGGUGGCGAGUGGCGGACGGGUGAGGAAUACAUCGGAAUCUACUUUUUCGUGGGGGAUAACGUAGGGAAACUUACGCUAAUACCGCAUACGACCUACGGGUGAAAGCAGGGGAUCUUCGGACCUUGCGCGAUUGAAUGAGCCGAUGUCGGAUUAGCUAGUUGGCGGGGUAAAGGCCCACCAAGGCGACGAUCCGUAGCUGGUCUGAGAGGAGGAUCAGCCACACUGGAGCUGAGACACGGUCCAGACUCCUACGGGAGGCAGCAGUGGGGAAUAUUGGACAAUGGGCGCAAGCCUGAUCCAGCCAUACCGCGUGGGUGAAGAAGGCCUUCGGGUUGUAAAGCCCUUUUGUUGGGAAAGAAAAGCAGCAGGUUAAUACCCCGCUGUUCUGACGGUACCCAAAGAAUAAGCACCGGCUAACUUCGU